GAUAAUGAAGCCCAGGUACAAAUAAACGGCUUCAGGACUCUGCCCUGUGUUACUGGGUGGUCGCUACCUAUUCUUAGUUCUUCCUGUAAGACUCGGGGAACACGAUGUGCUCAAGGAGCACAAUGCCUGAGACACACUCAUGAGUCAAGGUUCUUUCCGGAGAGAUAGAAGAAGUCUAGACUAGGGACUGGAGGCAACAGGAUUCCAGGGGCUGUUUUCAAAUGAUGAACAUCCAGGCUGUCUGUGUGCAUCCCCCCAGGGGUGGAAAACCCAGGGGCCAAACAGCAUGAAGAUCGCUCAGGAGUCAGGCUCCUCAACAAGCAGGAACCAAGGAGGGGCUGAGUCCUGAUUGAGGGUCUCCAGGGACUUUGGGACUGUAGGAAUUGGACUAGGUAGGUCUGUCCAGGCCAUGAGCACAGCUCUUGACUACACUAGUAUGCUAGGCUGAGCAGACCCUGUCCCGUGAAGGUUCCUUUUGGAGUUAUCUAUGUAGCUUAAGACUGAGCCAAACCACAGGAUGGUAGCAACCUGGAGAGCUCCACAGUGAUUUUCUCAAGCAAUGGAGCAGAUAUCGGCUAACAAUUGGCGACUGGUGAAGGCUAUUUCUCUUACUGAGGCAGCAGGGCAGGGCCCAGAAGACUUGAACCCAAGACCUCAGUGUUCCACACUCACUUUUGGCACGUGGGACAAACCACAUUAUUUCUCUGAACUGCUACCGUCUGUAAAUGUAAUUUUGACAGCUACCCUGUCACUGAUGCCGACUAGAUAGGGAAGCAAGCUGGGGACACGGGGCAGAGGUUGAAGGGCCUCACCUGGAAGCUGGUGCAUCUUUCCACACACUCUUUGUCUCUUACCUUUCCGUCAUGGCCACCUGCUCCAGCAUAGCAGAGCCUGUGUUGGCCUUCCAGUUUCCAGAGAUGGAGGUUCUCCUGGGUUAGAACAAACCACACAUCAAGGACAUUAUGGAGAUCUUGACCACUAAUCUGCUUCCCUUCUUGGCUCUUGUGGUUAGGAGAUGUUGGUCCAAAUAUGUGGCCCAAAUUAUACAUAGCAUGUACUUUUAUAUCUGUAUUCUGUCUUCUUUUUUUCCGUUCUGUAAUUUCUAUUAGUGCUGAGAGAUUAAUUUAUUCCUGGAUACUAUGUAUUAUUGUUUUCUAAACCUUUUUUUAAAUUUAAAGAUUAAAUUGUAUUUAUUAA